rnacentral:rRNA from 1 species
CUAUGCGCCUUGCCAGCCCGCUCAGGUGUGCCAGCCGCCGCGGUAAUACGUAGGUGGCGAGCGUUGUCCGGAUUUACUGGGCGUAAAGGGAGCGUAGGCGGACCUUUAAGUGAGAUGUGAAAUACUCGGGCUCAACUUGAGUGCUGCAUUUCAAACUGGAAGUCUAGAGUGCAGGAGAGGAGAAUGGAAUUCUUAGUGUAGCGGUGAAAUGCGUAGAGAUUAGGAAGAACACCAGUGGCGAAGGCGAUUCUCUGGACUGUAACUGACGCUGAGGCUCGAAAGCGUGGGGAGCAAACAGG